GUAGUCGGCGGUACGGAACAGGCGCUGAAUACUGGAGAUUAAAAUAAUAGGGGAUUAGCUGAAGUAUCACUAAUCGAAUGUGUAGAAAAGAUUAGGGAACCUCACAACUUCUACCUAAAGAAAAAAUAACUGAUUAGAACUGGGAGACCUUCUAUAUAUCACUGCUUAUACUAAAUAAUUCGCGUUUAUAUACUAAAGGAAGAGAAAAACUCGUUUAGCCAAGCUGUGCUAAAGAAUUCGCGUUUCAAACAACAAAUUCAACUAAAUCAUACACUUAUGUGUGGAUACUAUGGGUAAUCAUUUUGCAAACUUACUUGGUGCCAAAGUAGAUAUAGUUGGACAGCUGGUUGACAAUCGUUGUGUAGUACC